rnacentral:rRNA from 1 species
GGCAAGAGCUCAGAUUUGAAAUCGUGUUUCGGCACGAGUUGUAGAGUGUAGGCGGGAGUCUCUGUGGAGCGCGGUGUCCAAGUCCCUUGGAACAGGGUGCCUGAGAGGGUGAGAGCCCCGUAGGGUGCUGCGCGAAGCUUUUGAGGCCCUGCUGACGAGUCGAGUUGUUUGGGAAUGCAGCUCCAAGCGGGUGGUAAAUUCCAUCUAAGGCUAAAUAUUGGCGAGAGACCGAUAGCGAACAAGUACUGUGAAGGAAAGAUGAAAAGCACUUUGAAAAGAGAGUGAAACAGCACGUGAAAUUGUUGAAAGGGAAGGGUAUUGGGCUCGACAUGGGGGGUGCGCACCGCUGUCUCUUGUAGGCGGCGCUCUGGGCGCCCUCUGGGCCAGCAUCGGUUCCUGCUGCGGGAGAAGGGGCUCCGGAAAGUGGCUCUUCGGAGUGUUAUAGCCGGGGCCAGAUGCCGCGUGUGGGGACCGAGGACUGCGGCUUCUGUCUCGGAUGCUGGCAUAACGGCGCAAUACCGCCCGUCUUGA